CGGUUGGGAGGGCUGCAAGUCUGCGGUCCGUUGAGUGUCUAACUCACCCGGCUG
rnacentral:ncRNA from 1 species